ACCAAUAAAGAGGGUGUUAACAUGGGAAUAAAACCAGAAAAGCUGGAAAUAAAAACCAAGCUGAAGUUGUGUACAAGUGUCCAACUCUGCAGCUCUCCAUCAGUCAAGAGUGCUUGGUGUUGGACUGGCUUCUGGUUCAUGUUGCAAGCUUAAAUUGAGUCACAUCAUCGCUGUUGCCAGCUUUUGACUCAGAGUGUAGCUUGCUUAGAUUACACCCAAACAAGACAUCUUUUAAUAACUCGAACACUAUUAAUGCACCUUUUGUACAAUAUCAUUAGAACGUGUUAUUUUGUGGUCUUUUUGGUUCUACGAUUAAAGGAAAAUGUACAACUUUUUUUUCCUUCCCUUUUGCUGAUUUUAACAAGUAUAUUCGUAAUAUUUUAAUGAACCUCAGUGGAGACUGAGCAAUCACUUAAUGCCUCAGAAGGGGGUGGACUUAUUACUGCAUUAUACUAUAAAAGUGAACCGAAAAUAUCCACAUUUUUAAUUAAGGGGUAAAUAUUUAGGCUUAUAGCUCAAAUAAAUACACUAGGUGAAGCAAUAGGAGUGGGCUGACUCUAAAAACCAUUACAUCGUGUCGAUUACAGUAAUCAGCGGUAUAUAGCGGUGACCGAUUAAUCGUGAGCUUCACUCGAUGCUUCACUUUUUUUUCCCCUCUCACGCGCAACAAAAUGGCGUCUCUGCAACGAGCAGCGUCUGUUGGCGUUCCAGCGAUUAAAACGUUUUUAAAGUGUACAACAAUAGAACAACGGGAAAAAAAACGAGAAUAUGGCACAGAGCAGGCAGACCAGGGUGGGUUUUAACUUCAAAUCGCCUUAAAUUGUCCCAAGAGUCCAGACCCGGACCCGGGCUAAAGAAUUCAGGAGUAGGAGGGGCAGGAAGCUGGAUGUGAGGAAAAAAAAAACCCAACUCCGAUUUGGCAUCCAGUGCGCCCUGACCCGUAUCAAGCAGUGACUGAAGAUGAAUUAAUCAGCAUCGUAUGAGAGUGAUGUUACACUGAAUGUUACCAUGUCUGUGACUGAUGAGAAUUUAGGCAAUCACACAUAAUCAGUAACACAGCAUUUUCUAUAAACAAAAAAUGAUUAUAUAGUAUCUUACAUUUUGACACAAUAUGGAUAAAUAUAUAGUUUUUUUGGCUCUGACAAUGGAAACCAUUCCCAAAAUUAAAGCAUAAAACCCAA